rnacentral:rRNA from 1 species
AGAGUUUGAUCCUGGCUCAGAACGAACGCUGGCGGCGUGGAUAAGACAUGCAAGUCGAGCGAGAUUUUUCGUUGUAGCAAUACGAUGGAAAGUCUAGCGGCGAACGGGUGCUUAACACGUGGGCAACCUGCCAUGAAGUGGGGGAUAGCUCGCCGAAAGGCGAAUUAAUACCGCAUGUGAUUAGAGAGGACAUCCUUUCGAAAUUAAAGUCGGGGCAACCUGACGCUUCUUGUGGGGCCCGCGGCCUAUCAGCUAGUUGGUGAGGUAACGGCUCACCAAGGCUUUGACGGGUAGCUGGUCUGAGAGGACGACCAGCCACACUGGGACUGAGACACGGCCCAGACACCUACGGGUGGCAGCAGUCGAGAAUUUUUGACAAUGGGGGAAACCCUGAUCGAGCGACGCCGCGUGGAGGAUGAAGGUCUUCGGAUUGUAAACUCCUGUCAUUGGGGAACAAGGUGCAUACGUUAACUGCGUGUGCAUUGAUAGUACCCGAAGAGGAAGAGACGGCUAACUCUGUGCCAGCAGCCGCGGUAAUACAGAGGUCUCAAGCGUUGUUCGGAUUCAUUGGGCGUAAAGGGUGCGUAGGCGGCGCGGUAAGUCGGGUGUGAAAUCUCGGAGCUUAACUCCGAAACUGCAUUCGAUACUGCCGUGCUUGAGGACUGGAGAGGAGACUGGAAUUUACGGUGUAGCGGUGAAAUGCGUAGAUAUCGUAAGGAAGACCAGUGGCGAAGGCGGGUCUCUGGACAGUUCCUGACGCUGAGGCACGAAGGCCAGGGGAGCAAACGGGAUUAGAUACCCUAGUAGUCC